rnacentral:rRNA from 1 species
CAGACCGCCAGCUAAGGUCCCAAAGUCAUGGUUAAGUGGGAAACGAUGUGGGAAGGCCCAGACAGCCAGGAUGUUGGCUUAGAAGCAGCCAUCAUUUAAAGAAAGCGUAAUAGCUCACUGGUCGAGUCGGCCUGCGCGGAAGAUGUAACGGGGCUAAACCAUGCACCGAAGCUGCGGCAGCGACGCUUAUGCGUUGUUGGGUAGGGGAGCGUUCUGUAAGCCUGUGAAGGUGUGCUGUGAGGCAUGCUGGAGGUAUCAGAAGUGCGAAUGCUGACAUAAGUAACGAUAAAGCGGGUGAAAAGCCCGCUCGCCGGAAGACCAAGGGUUCCUGUCCAACGUUAAUCGGGGCAGGGUGAGUCGACCCCUAAGGCGAGGCCGAAAGGCGUAGUCGAUGGGAAACAGGUUAAUAUUCCUGUACUUGGUGUUA